rnacentral:rRNA from 1 species
YAAUAYAGGAUGAGAUACCCUCUUAUUUUUAUUAAAWWUAAAUWUAAUUAAAUAUUAAAUGUUUAAAGCRYUAAAAAUAAAAAAUUUGGCGGUAUUUAAUAUUUAGAGGAACUYGUUUAUUAAAAWGAUAAUCCACGAAWGGARGGAMWUAAUUUUAAAGUAAUUUUAUGUAUUGUUGUUGAAAAAUUAUAUUAAUAGAUAAUUAUUUAUAAAUUUAAUAAAAAUUAUAAUUCAAAUCAAAAUGUAGAAUAAUUAAGAGGUUUAAUGAGUUWCAAUUAAUUAAAUAUUUGAAUUUUAACAUAUAAUUUAAUUUAUAAAUGAAAAUGGAUUUAAAAGUAAAUUUAUAAAAAUUAUAAAUGAAUAAAUUUUU